UACGAAGGGGGCUAGCGUUGUUCGGAAUUACUGGGCGUAAAGCGCACGUAGGCGGAUAUUUAAGUCAGGGGUGAAAUCCCAGAGCUCAACUCUGGAACUGCCUUUGAUACUGGGUAUCUUGAGUAUGGAAGAGGUAAGUGGAAUUGCGAGUGUAGAGGUGAAAUGCGUUGAUAUCGAUAGGAACUCCGGUGGCGAAGGCGGCAUACUGGACCACCACUGACGCUGAUGCGCGAAAGCCAGGGGAGCAAACGGG
rnacentral:rRNA from 1 species